rnacentral:rRNA from 1 species
AAUAAAGAGAACAUGAUGUUGGUUCAGAUCUAAUGCUAUGUAGAGACAUAACACAUGCAAGUUAAUAAAUUUAGCGUUAAGGUGAGUAUUAUAAGAUAUUUAAAAAAUCUUAUACAGAUGUAGGUAAUAGAUAUUUCUAGCCAUGGAACUGAAGCCGAUGAUAAACGUCAGAACGGUCACAUUGAUAUAAAUCAACUCUUAUAAAGAGCAGCAGUGGGGAAUCUUUGACAAUGGUCUAACGACUGAUCAAGUUAUCUACGAGAAAAAUAUUAAAAAAAAAGAAUUAAUAAAAGAUAAACUAUAAAUUUCUAAAUAAUAGUAAUAAUGAUACUAAUUAUGAAAGAGUCCUAACUAAAAUAUGUGCCAGCAGCUGCGGUUAGACAUAGAGGGCAAGCAUUGAUCAGAAUGGCUUAAAGGAUCUGUAGAACGUAUAAAAAAUAUAGAAUAAUAAAGGGUAAUAAGAAUUAAAGUUAGAGGGAUAAAAUCCAAAGAAAACAUUAAGACUAUAAAGAGAUUACUUAAAAUUAUUGACGUUGUGAGAUGAAGGCUACGGUAGCGACAUGGAUUCGAUACCCAUUUAGUCGUAGCAGUAAACUAUGAAUACAAUAAAAGAAAAAUGAAAAUGAAUAGUAUUCCGCCUGACUAGUACGCUCGCAAGGGUGAAAUACAAGACAUUAGACGGUUGUAGUCCCAAGCAGUGGAACAUGUCAUUUAAUUGGAUGAUCCUCCAAAAACCUUACCAUCUCUUGAAUAUUUUACAGGCGUUACAUCGUUGUCGUCAGUUCAUGCCGUGAGGUUUAAUAUUAAGUUAUUGAAUGAACGUAACCCUUUUCUAAUAAAAAGAUAAGUAUAAUUGUAAAAUUAUAGGAAGUAGAGGUUGAAGACUAAUCAUGAUGACCCUAAUGAGAUGGGCUAUCGACGUGUUACAAUAUUAAUAACAAUUAAAUUAAUAAUAUUAAGUUAAAUUAAAUAUUAAGAAAAAGACAUAGUUUCAUUUAUGGAUUGUAAUCUGAAAUUCGGUUACAUAAAGGAGGAAUUGCUAGUAAUCGUAAACAAUAGAGUUACGGUGAAAUUUUUUGCUACUUCGUACUAACCACUCAUCAACAGCAAGAAAUUUAAUUUUUACUUAUUGAGUUUAUAUUUAAAGGACUUGCUGUAAGUUGAAAUACGGUUCGGUUAGGGGAACCUGAUCGGGAUUUAUAAAUUUA